rnacentral:tRNA from 1 species
UCAGAGGGUGUUCUAAUAGAGGAUCCCGGCUUUGGGGGCCGGGGGUGGGAGUUUAAUUCUUCUCUCUCUGAG